AGGUUAGUAGCUUAAUGGAUUAAGAGCACAUAGCUACGAACUAUGAGGUUGAGCGUUCGAAUCUCUCCUAGCCUA
rnacentral:tRNA from 1 species